AUUGAACGCUGGCGGCAGGCCUAACACAUGCAAGUCGAGCGGAUGAAGGGAGCUUGCUCCUGGAUUCAGCGGCGGACGGGUGAGUAAUGCCUAGGAAUCUGCCUGGUAGUGGGGGAUAACGUCCGGAAACGGGCGCUAAUACCGCAUACGUCCUGAGGGAGAAAGUGGGGGAUCUUCGGACCUCACGCUAUCAGAUGAGCCUAGGUCGGAUUAGCUAGUUGGUGGGGUAAAGGCCUACCAAGGCGACGAUCCGUAACUGGUCUGAGAGGAUGAUCAGUCACCUGGGAACGGAGAACCGGUCCAAGCCCCGACGGGAGGCAGCAGGGGGGAAUUUGGGACAAUGGGCGAAAGCCUAAUCCAGCCAUGCCGGGUGGGUGAAGAAGUUCUUCGGAUUGGAAAGCACUUUAAGUUGGGAGGAAGGGAAGUAAGUUAAAACCUUGCUGUUUUGACGUUACCAAAAAAAUAAGCACCGGCUAACUUCUU
rnacentral:rRNA from 1 species